UAGAACAUUCCACUCGAGAGGAAGAAGAAAAAAGGAAAGAAAGGGGGUUUGAUAAAUUUCACUCGAGAGCAAGAAAAAGAGAGAAAUAAAAGAAAGAAGAGAAAGGAAAGAAAGAAAGGAGAAAGGGGAAGGAAAAAAAAAAGGAGGGAAAAGCUUGGAGGAGGAGGUUCUGCCUUGGAGGAGAAAGGGAAAAUCGAGAGGUUUUCCUCCCCACCCACACACCAUUGUGAAAGUUUGAAAGGAUUUUGGUGGUUUGGCUUGUAGAUUUCAAGAUCAAUUAGAUUUGGAGACCAUUCAUUGACAUGCAAGUUACCAAACCCGUGGGUGUCGAGUGAAACUAAGGAAGUGCAAAAGUAAGGUAAUGUACUGUGGUGGCAUGCCGAAGGAAGCAACAAGCAACCGGCAAGUAGAAAUAGCGACUUAGUGUCCCACUAU